UAUUUCAACACUUGGUAAUUUGCUCAAACCAAUGUCCGAAAAGGAGUCUGGUGAGCAAAGUUUCAAGUGUAUAUAUGU
ncrna:Schmidtea mediterranea microRNA sme-mir-87a precursor